rnacentral:tRNA from 1 species
GCCUUCGUGGUGUAGUGGUCAGCACGCUCGACGCGUAACCUAGAGGUCCGCGGUUCGAUUCCCGGCGAAGGCU